UAUUAUAACAACAAAUUUUCUAUCAUGAAGGUGAUAAUGGUAGCUUAUGGUUCUGGGAUUGGAAGAGUGGUCAUAACUUUCAGCAAUCGCAAACAAUUGUACAGCCUGGCUCGCUGGACAGUGAAGCCGGUAUCUAUGCUCUCUCGUACGACAUAACUGGUUCGAGGCUUCUAACCUGUGAAGCAGACAAAACGAUCAAAAUGUGGAAGGAGGAUGAAAACGCUACCCCAGAAACUCAUCCCCUCAACUUUAAGCCACCGAAAGAUAUCCGACGAUUCUAGAGCUCCAUUCCCGACACGGUCAGUGUUCUUUCGGGUUACUCAUAUGCAUCGAGAAGUUACGUAGGCUUAGAAUUGUCUGGCCCCCAAUCCAUCCAUACAUGCUAGUCCUCAUGACUAGAAAUGACCUCUUAGCUUAUCAUUUUAAUUUUUGUAUAUAUAAACAAUUAAAGUUGGUUCUGAAUUAUCUGAAAAUUAGGUAAUUUUCCUAAAGAACUUGUAAUUUGCCUUGUUUCUCUACCUGCUACCUACAACGUUGGAAUAUUUAGAGAAUGUUUUCUGAUGAAUAUUCAAUUUUUUAUAUG